rnacentral:lncRNA from 1 species
AUAUUUUCUUACAGUAUUGUAAAACUUUCAUAAAUCUGUGCUGAUUGUUCUGAAGAGGAACCAUUGUGCUGGAGUCGAGAGGCGACGAGGGUCGGAACAUAAUAAAGGUCGGACCGUAUUUGUUUUGAACUUUUCUCUUUGAUGAAAAUCUGAAUGUUUAACAUGUUUUGAAAGUUUUCCGUCUCGCCCACAUCGAAAGUGCUCCCGUGUGAGAGCUGAAGUUCGGGCCGGGGUCUCGGCGCUGUGCUGAAACUCACCGGGGACUCCGACGAUCUCUGCCACCUGCCGCCACGCGUCGCUCCGCAUGUUCAGGUCCCGAUAGGUCGGAGAGUUCAUGUCGUAGAGACUCGGGAAGCCAGAGACCGCCAUGAUGAGCUUGUAUUCCAUUCUCCUGUGUUUAAAACUCUGGCGGAGCGGAGCCGAGCUGGAAAGAAAAUAAAAGAACGAAUGGGGGGAAACACUACUUCCGUUUCCGGUGCGUCACAGCUCAUUUGCAUAAAAAGUGACCAGAUUUCAGUCCUUUGUUCACUCCAUCAAAGAAAAUCACAUUAAACAGGAUAAAUAGUUUCUUCUUAAACUGAUAGUUGUCCCAACUUGUCUUCAAACAUUUUAGAAACAAUGAGUUUUUGUUUGUUUGUUUACUGACAUACUUCUUUGGCCAGCCUGCCCUUGAGUGUGUGUCACACACCUGUCUACAGCCAGCAUGGCGCCUGAUGUGAAAUCACUGAAAGAAAAGAAAACCUACAGCGUCCUCGUUAGGAGCCAUUUGGCUCACAAAUGGGACAACGACCUAAAAGAAACUGGUAGCUCGGUGACGGCACGGAAGGGAGAGUCACAUGUUUGGCUGCUGAUCAGGAACAGAUCCACUGCAACACCAAGUUGGUGUUAAUAAUGAGAAACAAAGCCUUCAGUCCUCGAGCUACAGGACACGGAGUCAACAUCACGGCUUCGCCUUCCACAGUCUUUCUAGCUUGACGUGUCCUCCUUUGGUUUCUUUGGUGAGCUGCUGAAGAGAAAUCAUAUUAAACUUGAAUUGUUUUUACUAGAAAUACGAUCACUUUCAAAGAUAACCCUGAAGCAUCAUGUGAGCUGGAAAGUAAAAGUCAUUUGUACAAUAAAGCUGUGUGACUGCACUUGCAUUGUGAGUGCUGGUGGUCAGUGAAUAAAACAUGAAAGAGUCCUUUGAAGAUGCAGCAGAUACAGAGAGGCAGGGUGUGUCUCUGUAUAGAGGCAUAUAUCUCUGUAGUUACAUGUAAGGCUUUGAC